UUACAAUCUAAGGGUAGAAAAAAAAACUUGAACGCCUCUUGGCUCUUGAGCUCGAGACAUUUAUCUGGCUAUGUCACUGCCUAAGUUGAAUACAAGAGUGUCCUGUGUCAACUUGACCAACAUUUUGAGAGGUAAGGAGUGAGAAAUCGGUACAGAGGCAGACUGCAAAAGUGCAGAGACGGAGAGGAGAGAAGAGAACACUCCCAAGUCCCAAGUUCAAAUCAAACUUCAAUCAAAUUCAUCGAAAAUCAAAAUUCAAAACUUCAAAAACAAUGACAGAAACUCGUGCUCCACCAAAUAGCCAAAAAAUCCACACAGUACUCAAUUUAACAUCCAGAUAAAAAAAACACACGUGUUUUUGCCACACAUAAACAACGCAUCGCAAAAACACGAAGGCACUCACUGGUGUGUUUCAUUCCAACCUCGUUGUUUCACCGACCUUUGCAAAUUUUUAUGACGGCGAAAAAUUUUCUCCUACUUGAUAAUUUAUAAUUUUUCCAGAUUAAAAUUCGUUCGUAAUCGAUAUCGCGACAUUAAUAAUUUAAUUACAUCAGCAAUACCACGAUGUACAUUUUACAUAAAUUCCAUUCCAUAAAUUUCUUCGCCCGUUAUAAAAAACGAGAUUGAAUUUCGCCUAUUAAUUUUUUCGACAUUUUCUCCCAUUGGUAAAAAUUAUUUCCCGUAAUCUGUAACCUUGCAAUAGGCCUAUAAUUUUGUAAAAUUUUGAUCAUUUUCGAUUGGUCUGGAAAUUUGUGGACAAGACUUUUGUUUUCGUUUUCCCCUUCCCAUUUUUUUUUUCAUUUUUUUCAACAUAAUUAAAGCGUUACAUGUUGUUGAAACCUUUGUGUGUGCGACCCAAGAAAUAAUAACGUUUUCACAUAAAUUUCGUGUGUAAAAUUUUCGCCUUCGAGUAAUAUAAUUUGUAAAGUCCUAUGUAUUUGAUAAUAGAGUAUGUAUAACGUAAAUAGUACCAAAGGCAUGUGAAAAAUCAGUGUUUAUGUUUUGUUUCUGUGAUGCAAUUUCUUUUCAAUUUUGACUUGUUAUUUGUUUACUGUUUCAAAUUCUCGAUUGCUUUGUAAAAUAAAAAAAAAAUUAUCGUUCGCAGCAGCAGUCGUUUCCGUAUUUAUCGAAAAUAUCGUUAAAGUCGUGAUUACAUUUCGUCGAGUAUAAAAUAAUACUACACAAAUUUACUUCCAAUAACAUUUUUCGUGUGGUGAUAAUCAUCGCGACUCGCGUGUUCGAAAAUAUUUCAUUAUGUGGGUGUUUUUUUUUCCAACGACGAUUUGGUGUUUGUAAAUUUUCGCUCGAGUCAAGAACACACACACUGCUCAUCGUGACGAUGACGAAGGAUCGGCAUUUUUUCAGCGCCGAAAAAAAAACACCUAUUAGAUCGAGUAAUGUAUUAUGACGAUGGUUUGUAAACAAAUUGAUGAAAAAAUUAUGGGUGCAUUAUUACUGCUAUAUAUAUGUAUAUGUUAUAAUGUAUAAUAUACUCCAAGUGCAUCGAAAUUGUUGAAUGAGCAGUACGUUAAUUCAUAAUUAGAUAGUUUUGUUUUUCCACAAGGUAUAUAGGUAGCUUUAUCAUCAUCGAUCGAAUGAAAUCUCAAUCGAGUCUGGCUGUAUGAUGGAAUACGAAUUUCUACGAAAAACUAUGACGUUACGGUGCAGCAAUGUGACAGCUAAUGGUACCUUUUUUUUAUCAGUUCGUGAUAGCACAGCGUCUACUCCCUCAGAGCUCUACGAUGUUUGUAUCCGAAUAAGGUGAGAAAAAUGUGACCAGUUUGCUCGUAUAUGACUCCCAAUUCUAUAGCCUGUUGAUUAUUAUUUGCAUUUUAGUUUCUUGUGGAAGAAGCACGAAAGCUUUGUUUACAUACUAUAAUUUUACUCUGUGCAAUGCGUAGGAUACUGUAUCAUUUGAUUUAGAAAACCGUAUCGUAAACGCUGUCAGACAAGAUCGUGAAGAGCUUAGCUUGAUGAAAAAGUACAGUGUAGUUUUGAAGUAGCUUCUACUAUAAUUACUCGUUGCAUUAUGGGGAACGUGAUCCGUCGGAAUAUGUCGCUGCCGCAGAUUGGAAAAUGGUUGCAAAAGCUGCCAAUGCCACUCUCUGACGAGACAUUUAGUAUUUUAUAUAUAUAAGAUAUAUAUGCUCCCGAAUCUAUGUAGUUUAGCAGCAUUAAAUAUACGCGGUGAUACGAAUAA